CCUACGGGUGGCUGCAGUGAGGAAUAUUGGUCAAUGGGCGUAAGCCUGAACCAGCCAUCCCGCGUGAAGGAAGACGGCGCUAUGCGUUGUAAACUUCUUUUCCGGAGGAAUAAAAUUUCGUACGUGUACGGAACUGAAGGUACUCCGGGAAUAAGCAUCGGCUAACUCCGUGCCAGCAGCCGCGGUAAUACGGAGGAUGCGAGCGUUAUCCGGAUUAAAGGGGUUUAAAGGGUGCGAAGGCGUAUUAAUUGAAAACCUUCAGCUUAACUGGAGACUUGCCAUUGAUACUGUUAGUCUUGAGUACGGUCAAGGUAGGCGGAAUGUGUAAUGUAGCGGUGAAAUGCUUAGAUAUUACACAGAACACCGAUUGCGAAGGCAGCUUACUGGGCCAUUACUGACGCUGAUGCACGAAAGCGUGGGGAGCGAACAGGAUUAGAUACCCGAGUAGUC
rnacentral:rRNA from 1 species